GGACUACCGGGGUAUCUAAUCCUGUUUGCUCCCCACGCUUUCGUGCAUGAGCGUCAGUGUUAUCCCAGGGGGCUGCCUUCGCCAUCGGUAUUCCUCCACAUAUCUACGCAUUUCACUGCUACACGUGGAAUUCUACCCCCCUCUGACACACUCUAGCCGUGCAGUCUCAAAUGCAAUUCCCAGGUUGAGCCCGGGGAUUUCACAUCUGACUUACACAACCGCCUGCGCACGCUUUACGCCCAGUAAUUCCGAUUAACGCUUGCACCCUACGUAUUACCGCGGCUGCUGGCAC
rnacentral:rRNA from 1 species